rnacentral:rRNA from 1 species
UACAGAGGGGGCAAGCGUUAUUCGGAAUUAUUGGGCGUAAAGGGCGCGUAGGCGGCUUGGCAAGUGGAAGGUGAAAUCCCUCGGCUUAACCGAGGAACUGCCCUCCAAACUGCUUUGCUUGAGGCCGGGAGAGGUGAGUGGAAUUCCCAGUGUAGCGGUGAAAUGCGUAGAUAUUGGGAGGAACACCAGUGGCGAAGGCGGCUACCUGGACGGGUUCUGACGCUGAUGCGCGAAAGCGUGGGUAGCAAACAGG